rnacentral:rRNA from 1 species
AUUGAACGCUGGCGGCAUGCCUUACACAUGCAAGUCGAACGAGACCUUCGGGUCUAGUGGCGCACGGGUGCGUAACACGUGGGAAUUUGCCUCGGGGUAUGGAAUAACUCAGGGAAACUUGAGCUAAUACCAUAUAAUGUCUUCGGACCAAAGAUUUAUCGCCCUGAGAUAAGCCCGCGUAGGAUUAGCUAGUUGGUGGGGUAAAGGCUCACCAAGGCGACGAUCCUUAGCUGGUCUGAGAGGAUGAUCAGCCACACUGGGACUGAGACACGGCCCAGACUCCUACGGGAGGCAGCAGUGGGGAAUAUUGGACAAUGGGCGAAAGCCUGAUCCAGCCAUGCCGCGUGUGUGAAGAAGGUCUUCGGAUUGUAAAGCACUUUAAGUUGGGAGGAAGGGUAGUAACCUAAUACGUUGCUACUUUGACGUUACCGACAGAAUAAGCACCGGCUAACUUCGUGCCAGCAGCCGCGGUAAACGUGAC